CCCGUGCCAAGCAGAAAAAGUGUGAGGUCUGCGAGUCAUCCUGCUACAGCCGGAGACUCAGCCUGAACCAGUCAGCGUGAAUGUGAGACCCUGCGAACAUGGAGGCCGGUAAAGAGGGGGAAUUUCAUGCGGAGAAGAGCAGCCUGUUCACUUCUAAACACCAUUUUCUGAAAAGGACAAAUGGAAAGAGUGGCUUGAAUCGAAGUACUCCCAGAUGGCCACAGUGGCAAGCUUUGUCCCCAGGCUUCCCACCCACAGCUCUGCACCACCUCUCCUGCACCUGCCACUGUCCAUACCAGGGGCACUGGCAAGCCAGGCACUUCAGUAGUCUUGGAAUGGAAUGCACUCAAGAGUCCUGCAGGGCAUCACUGUUAGUUCCACCCGUGAUACUUGUUCUAGUCAGCCAAACUGUUUUUCUUAAACUAGUUUGAAUUUCAGUUAUGUUACCCAAAGAAUCAUGAUUAAUGUAGCCGUGCCAUGUAUUAUUCAAUAUUUUUCUUUUACUAAACAAUGUAAGGAAAAAAAGCAGGAAAGAGCCAGCAAUGUAAGGAGA
rnacentral:lncRNA from 1 species